rnacentral:tRNA from 1 species
GGUCCGGUGGUGUAGUUGGUUAUCACGUCAGUCUAACAGCUUGAGAGGUUCGCCUAACGUCUGGUUGCACUGAAGGUCUCCGGUUCGAGCCCGGGCUGGAUCA